GUAACCACCAAUUACACUGCUAAUAAAUACUUCUUCAGGAUUGAGAGUCAACCAUACCGUGCAACAGAUCCUGAAAAGUCUGUUAAUAUAGUUGUCAGAGAUUUGCCUUCCAGUCCCAUCAUUACUGUCUCAGGUGAGGUGAAGGAAGGGACCCCUGUCAGUUUGAACUGCUCUGCUGUUGCUCCCUGUCCCGAACACCCCCCUGAGCUGACAUGGACUCUCCCAACACAGUUCACACCUGAGAACCAACUGCAGGAGAAUCCAGACCAAACCAAAUCAGUUCUCUCCACGGUGACCUUCACUCCGUCAUACCUUCAUCAUGAGAAGAACAUCACUUGUACUGCAGUCUACCCAGGAGGGACAAGCAACAAGACAGCUGAACAUAACAUGAUACUUAACGUUUCAUUCUCUCCUAAGGACACCUUGGCCUCCAUCAGUCCAGCUGAUCCAGUAUUAGUGGGCAGCUGUGUGAAUCUGACCUGCAGCAGUACAGCCAACCCUCCUGUGACAAACUUCACCUGGUUCAAGAUCAGUGGGGGUAAACGAACACAGGCAGCAUCUGGACUGAGUUAUACCCUCAAUGUGACUGUUGGUGAUGGAGGACUGUAUUACUGUGAAGGAAGAAAGUCACGGCUGUGGGAAGUCGAAUGAAGUGCAGCUAUCUAU